rnacentral:misc_RNA from 1 species
GAUUCGUCGGCAUUGCGGAGAUGGCGUCGAGCCCGUGCUGGAUCCGGUACGCCUGGCACAUCUUGAUGCCGGCGAUCUUAGCGACGGCGUACCACUCGUUAGUCGGCUCGAGCGGGCCGGAGAGGAGGGCGGACUCGGGGAUCGGCUGGGGGGCGAGCUUCGGGUAUAUGCAGGAUGAGCCGAGGAAGAGGAGCUUGCGGACGGAGCCGCAUUGGCGGGCGGCAUCAAUGAUAUUUGUCUGGAUCUGGAGGUUGAGUGCAAUGAAAUCGGCUGGGUAGGUGGAGUUGGCGUGGAUGCCGCCGACCUUGGCGGCGGAGAGGAUGAUGUAGUGGGGGCGCUCGGCGGCGAAGAAGGACUCGACGGCAGACUGGCGGGUGAGAUCGAGCUCGGCGUGGGUGCGGAGGAGGAGGUUGGAGAAGCCAAG